GAUUAUAUAUGAACACUUACACCAGGCCGACCAUCUGGCUAAAUAAAAUCACUGCAAUUUAGAGCUUGGUGGAAGCAGUGCUAAACUAAUUUCAAGCAAAUACUGAAGCAUUCUACAUCUUUUGGGGAGCGUCUUAAAAGAAAUUGAGGAGUUGAGGAUACACAGGUUUGCUGCAUAUCAUUUUUUAGAACAUAUAACAUCUUCAUGAAAAUUGUUGUUAGGUGAAAAUGUCUUUUUUUUUGCUAAAGCAUUAAAGAAAUGGCAAUCUGCAAAUCUACAUUUCAAAGCUAGUUGAGCCCAGAAGACUUACAGCUUCGUGAAUGAAUAGCUCAUCAGCACAUUUUGCAGACGGCAGGGAGACAUUACAGUUAUGGAACCCACUUAAAUGGGCGAAUCUGAGCAUUUUCUUGACCUAUAGUUACAAGCAAAGAAGGCAUUUGAGUGCUUUCAUAAACAUGGCAAAUAAUAAAUAGAACUAUUCAGCUAAGCAAACAUUUGCAUCAUUAUAAAUAGGGAAAGAAACCUGCCAUAAUGAAAUUCUGGCACAGAAGGAACACCACUGGGCAAUUAUCAAAAGGGGCUGCCACAAAGAAAAGAUGGCCAAUCU